GGCGUUUCUGAAAUCCACACAGAUAGACUACCAAUGCCGCAGACUUAGUCUGGUGUUGGGCUCACAGACUGGAAUGAAGCUUUAAAAAUCAUAGAAUAUGGUUCUCCUGAACAGGGUAGGGGGUAAUGAUGAGGAAUAUUUUUCAAUGGAAUGCUUUUCGGAAGAUUAGGCUGAUGAUGGCAUGAAAGCUAACAGAUAUGAGUUUGGAAGAGAUUUGGAGCAGAUUAGGAUCCCUUAUUGAUUCAGAGACGAUUACUCAACUAAAAAGUGUUGUGUGGAAAGAGCAGCUUGAAGGGAGAACUAUGGCGUUUCUGAAAUCCACACAGAUAGACUACCAAUGCCGCAGACUUAGUCUGGUGUUGGGCUCACAGACUGGAAUGAAGCUUUAAAAAUCAUAGAAUAUGGUUCUCCUGAACAGGGUAGGGGGUAAUGAUGAGGAAUAUUUUUCAAUGGAAUGCUUUUCGGAAGAUUAGGCUGUUGAAGGGAUGAAAGGUGUGCUAUGAAUUGCAAAUGCUGAUCCCAAGAGAUGUUUAGGUGCUGCAUCUAGAAAUCUAAAUUUUUUACAUAACUUCUUUGUUGUUACCGACUACUUGGACUACUGAACUUAACGUAAGAAUGGUCUGUUGAGAAGGUCCUGCAACAAGUUAUUUAUAUUGUCACCCAUAUUGCUGCGACAGCAUCAAAGUCUCCUAAAGAAUGUGUUGUGCUUUUCCUUUCAGGUAUCACUCAAAGAGGAGCCGACAUAAAGACUCGUGCUCAAGCCAUGAAGUGUGUUUAACAUCAAACAUCUAAACCCCUCAAAAGUUGUCUUAUUAUUUUUUUUUGCAUUUUUAUUUAUCGUGUGCAUAAUGAGUGUAGUAUGUGCCACCUAAGUGUAGUGUAUCUAGUGUGUUUAAAGUUCGUGGAGUGUGUAUAUUUUUGUAUAGUGCGUAUAUGUUUGUAAAGUGUUUGUAGUGUGUAUGUUUGUUGUAGUGUGAUUGUAUUGUGUGUGUAAUAUAGUGUCUGGAUUUUGUGAGUGUAUAUUAUGUGUAACGUAGCGUGUUUUGUGUA